GGCUGGUUGAAAACUUACGGCUAUUUGCUUCCAUCUGACAGCCGAAUGCCUGCCUUGCAGCUGGGCAAAGCUAUGCAGUCUGCAGUUGCCACUAUGCAGCAGUUUUACAGGAUCCCAGGAACAGGAGUUUUGGUUCGACAGCUAUUGAGCAAGAUGCAGGUAGGUUCUUUUUGUCUUUUCCUUUCUAAAUACCUUCUAGUAUUACCUAGGUUUUUAUUCCUGGUGGCAGAAAUCCUCAGAAGUGCUGAACGUGACUAAAUCAGCCAGUCUUAGAAGUCUUGAAGGCUGUGAAAAGGUGUCCCUAACCAAAACACGAGGGAAAAGCCCAGCUUCAUCUUAUUGCCAGGAGUACUGUUUGCAAGUGUUAGGAAGAGCUCUUGUUAAAGACAGUUCUUUGUGUGUAGAUCCCCCUUCCUGGUACACGUGUGAAGCAUGAAUCAAGGGUUGUGUUCAUUCGCAUCUCCCCCUGCAUUUAGGUGAAAUCCUGGCUAGAGAAAUGCCUUCUUGAGAAGUCUUUCUUAAGUAAUUGGAGCUGUGGCUCUGCAUAGAUGCUCUCUGUGAAGAACUAGAGUAAUGAGUGAACACCCUUCCUCCUUGUGAGGUGUAGUAGUCCCCUGAUGAGGAUAGCCAAGGCUACUCUAGGUGUCAAAUACUUGCCAUUUGUUGGACAUUAGAUGCCAUCUGUUGUAUGUUGACCAUGUGUUAUUUGUUCCUUGUGAUGUGGAGCAGUCUCUUGACACUGCUGAACCGCAGGCAUCGAGCACCUGGGCUGGAGGACCUUUGUUCCUGGAGCCUGUUGCCUUCGGUCCGCUUGUUCAGCAUGUACUGGGAAGUGCAGUGUGGAGGUGGUGUUUGUUGCCACUACCUGACUUGCUUCAUGCUGUUUGAUUACCUGGACAAGGGAUAUAGCGAUGGAAGCGCACGGGGGAGAGAAGACACAUUAGCGCCUCACARAAGCGGUGAACACUGUGUGUGUCACAGGAUCAAACACGUGGUCAUGAAGAGAACCAAGAAAUAAUCUUACUUGUGUUCGGCCUGACUGGUGUGUCUUCAGUUGUGUCUUGU
rnacentral:lncRNA from 1 species